CGCCUAGAACCUGAGAACUGAGCGGUGGCACCGUCGGACUAGGCGGUGGCACCGCCAGUACACUGUCAGUGUCAGACACUGACAGGUGGUGGCACCGCCAGCCUCGGGAACCCAAGAGAAUUCAAAAUUUGGAGCCCAAAUUUGAAUCCUCUUGGGGCCUAUAAAUACCCCUCAAUUCUCAGCUGAGAACACAACCUUUGAGAAGCAAGAGAUUGAGAUAAAAGUCUUAGCAAAGUCUUUAGCAAGUUUUUGUUUUCAAUUGCUUGAGUGUUCACCUCCUUCUUUCUCUUUCAAAAUUUGUAAGAGAGUGAACCACUUGUAAAAGGUUGUAAGAGGGGUAUUUGUCCUUCCCCUUCAAAAUGAUUUGCUAGUGGAAGUUGGGAGCCUCAUCGAAGAAGGCUUCGUAAGUGGAUGUAGGUCGCAUGAUCGAACCACUAUAAAUCGGUUUGCGUUUAUCUUAUUGUCAUUUAUAUUACUGCAAACCAUCUUCACUUUGAUGCUCUACUUCUUUGUCUCCUUCUUACAUAUUCCUUCAAGUUAAAACGCAAUCGAAACGGUUUCAAACGAAACGUUGCUUUUAUCGUACGAAGUUUCUGAAAGUGUUUAAAUCGUCAAAAGUUUAUCGUACUUUACCGCUGCACUAAGUCACCCCCCUCUUAGUGCCACUCCGAUCCUAACAAAGGGUACCGUAUGGCUUAGUCAAAAUCAAUUAAGUCCAUGACAGAUUGGGUUUCGGAUUCAGGCAGGGAAGUGUGGUACAUUGAAUUUUACGAUCGGGGACCAAAUUGCCCCCUUAGUUCGAUAGGUCUCAAGUGCUCAUAGGAUGUCAACCCCACAUCGGGUGGGGGAAACCUUGAAGGGUGUCGGUGUUGGUAGUGGUUAAGUCAAUGAUCGCGGUUGAGUUGGUGGUGUAGCUUGUUGGGGUAACUAGGGCAAAAGUGGAACGAUGAUCUGUAUCAUGCUUGUUAGGGUUUGCACUUACUAGAUGAGAUUCCAUAACACAUCGACAAGGAUGAGAAUAUGGCUAGGGGUCAUCCUCGGGGGUGAGAGGCCUAAGUCAUUGAAUAAAUGCCAAUAUCAUAUCAAUGUUUGUGCCGAGGUAGAUGCAUCUAUAUGCGGAAAGGGUGAUUGCUGCUCCUAUUGAGUAAAAGUACUAUGAGUCGAAGGUAAAGUCUCUUCCCUCGAGCGUUUAUUGAAAAGGUCGAUGGGCGAGAAUUCAUAUAACAUCGAAUCCUCCUUCUAGCACCAAAACAAUGAGAGAAGAAAUCAUUAACAUCUUGGUUAGCUCGACGUGGUUUGAACUCGUAUGCACAGGAUUGUCCAAAGUGCCUCCGAGGUAAAAAUGUCAAGUUUUCAAAAUGUCACAUGUACGAAAAUUGAGGUCGAAAAAGAUUUUCCAAUCCGAUCCCUCCAAUACCCAAGUUAGUAACCUAAUGUGUAUAAGUGUGGACACUAAUAGUCAAAAAAACGAAAACCCACCUUUUUUAUGUUGGAGAUAAACUUUUAUAUCUAAUUAUAAAUAGAUAAAAUAUUUUAUAAAAUAUUAUACAAGACAAUCUACAAUUGCCUCCAACAAAUUUUCUUUUGUGACAUUUACUAUAAAUGACAUACUUUCUAUCAACUUUUAUCAUAAAUGAUCGAGAGAAUGAAGUCUAUACUCUCACAAUUACAUCUCUAUCAUUCGUCUAAAAUAAAUAGAAUACAUAUGUGCAAGACUUGCACGGAUUAAGCACAAACACAAUACACUACACAUACAAACGAUAGUUGACAUUAGGAAAAAAGAAACUACGGUUGCAAUAUAUGACACGAAUUCAAGAAUAUGGUUCUUAUGACAUGACUUUUUCUUUCAAUAUUUCAUAGUCAAGUAUAGAUAAUUUUCAUCAAACUAUUAACUUAUAUUUGGAUCCAACUCGAAUUGAUUUGAGGUUAGGUCAGAUAUUGUUAAUCAUUUUUUCUGGAUUCAGAAAUAUAUAAAACACAAACAAAUCAUAUGAAUGUUUAAAUUGCAUAAGCAGAGAAGAAAAUUAAGGGGAACAAAUCAUUGGGCAAAAAUUGCCUUCCGAAAAUAAUAUUCCUCAGAUCGGACUAGAAAAGAUUCCAAAUUCACCGCCUGGGUUUGAGUCUGCCUUGGGGAUCACCAAUCACAGAGAAGCACCGGCCCGCGCCGCCUCUCCCUACCAUUGGAACAGUCGAGCACUUGGGAUGGACCACAGCGUCGCGAUCGUGUUUCUGCCACGAGGCCGAGGCGCGGGACACCGGCCCGCGGUGGCCUUUCCUCCGGAACGGAUAGAAAUUCCAAGGGUUCCGUGGUCGCUGGGCCUUCUUCUGGUGCUGUUACUUGACAGGGAUGAACGUGCAGUACAAAAUUGAAAGAAAGAAAUAAGAGAGCACAGAAAUGCACCGUGUUAAUUCCUAGAAUUGCUGGAACUUUCUUCCAAGUCUGCUUCACAGAAAAACUCGAAUUCCACCUCUACCACAGAACAUGAUUGACCACAAGUCGUUCCACUCUGCAGAACCACCACAUUUUGAAUGAUCGACAGCCGUUCAUUCCAGUUGCCAACGAAACACUAAUUGUCAACAAACGGGAAGUCAUCUGCUACAAUCCUCUCAAAUAAGUAAAAGAGAAAUAAAGAGAAUAAAGGGCUUAAUAGAUUCAAUUGAUCUAUUUAAGGUGGCAUGCUGUCCAUAAUCAGAAGAGAGGAACAUACAAACCUUCCAUAGUCUCUGUUUCCAUGGCCUCCGGUGCUCCUGCAGAAUCGCUUGGAGGCCAAGUGAAGAAGAGAGCUUUCGUAACAUUCCUGGCAGGGGACGGCGACUAUGUGAAGGGAGUGGUAGGGCUGGCAAAAGGCCUGAGAAAGGUGAAGAGUGCUUACCCUUUGGUGGUGGCGGUGCUGCCCGAUGUGCCCGAGGCUCACCGCCGAUUGCUUCAAGCCCAGGGCUGCACUGUUCGGGAGAUCGAACCCGUUUACCCGCCUGAGAACCAAGUGCAGUUUGCCAUGGCUUAUUAUGUCAUCAACUACUCCAAGCUGCGGAUUUGGAAUGUAAGUGAGCCAAAACGAUACUUCUUUAGGUUGUCAUUCAUGUUCCUUUUUUCCUUUCUCUUCGGGUAUCUAUAUGGAGGAAGCUGAACCCUACAGAAAGUUACGCAAAUGAUGUCUAAUUAAUGAUGAUGACUCCUUGGUUGCUGCUAAUUGCAGUUUGUGGAGUACAGCAAGAUAAUAUAUUUAGAUGCAGAUAUCCAAGUGUAUGACAACAUCGAUCACCUGUUCGACAUGCCCGAUGGCUACUUCUAUGCAGUGAUGGACUGCUUCUGCGAGAAGACAUGGAGCCACUCUCGACAGUACUCAAUUGGCUAUUGCCAGCAGUGUCCGGACAAGGUGGCAUGGCCUGCUGAGAUGGGAUCCCCUCCUCCGUUGUACUUCAAUGCAGGGAUGUUUGUAUCUGAACCAGCUCGACCAACUUACGAUGGCCUUCUUGAGACUCUUAUGACAACACCUCCAACUCCCUUUGCGGAGCAGGUGAGUCCUCCAACUGGGUUAAAUUUUUUGGAGUUUGAUACAAAAUAUAGAACAGGAUUAUUUACAUAACUAAAAAAUUCUAGUAAGAUAAGGAGAUAAGUUAGUGGACCAGAUUAGAAGAACAUUCUCGCAAACAGAACUUUGAGUUGAAACUUGAAAGAUCAAGAACUAGACAUGCAAAUGAAACAAUCUGAUAGUCCAACCGUAACAAUAAUUAGAACAAAAACACAGUUCAUUUAGUUAUUCUACUUAAUUAAUUUCUACUUCUAGGUAAACACCUGAGAUAUUACAAAAUUAACCCACUCCAGGUAGGUAACAAAAUUAUGAACCAUGCAAAUCUGGAAACAGGUUAACACAUGCUUUCAUUAUGUAAGAUCCACACAAUCAUUAUCCUAUAACCAGCAUCUUGCUCCAGUCCCUAAAGAGAUAGGAGUCUUUCUAACCUUGGACAUAGGGAAGUACCGUUAAGUCAGCAAAACUAUACAUUUUUUCUUAUUCAACAACUACAUGUGGCAUAAAAAUUGACCAUAUAUUCUCUACAUCCUGCCUUAUCUCUUGCGACUGGUGCAAAUAUUCCUUACAGCUAAUGUUGUUUAUAGAGAUUAUGAAGCUAGGGAAUGUGACAAUUAUGACAAUGACAUCGGUGGUUUCCUUGCGUAGAGUUAGCAUCGACAGUUUUUCUUAUCUGACAAAUAUGAGGAUAACUGGAAUUCGAUUUAGUCUAUUGGAAAAUAUUAAGAACCAUGUAUUUUUCACUCUAUUUCUGACCUCAUUUUUGUAGGACUUCCUGAACAUGUAUUUCGAGAAAAUCUACAAGCCAAUUCCGCUCAUCUACAAUCUGGUUCUAGCCAUGCUAUGGCGACACCCUGAAAAUGUUGAGCUUGAAAAUGUCAAGGUGGUCCACUAUUGUGCCGCGGUAAGUGCUACAUUAGUCACUUAUCACAAGUACCAGCAUCAUAAUCCAACAUUCCACAAAUUAAUAUUGUAUUUAUCGACCUGCUGUUGCUUUCCAAUGAUGGUGAUAUAGGGUUCCAAGCCUUGGAGGUACACUGGAAAGGAAGCUAACAUGGACAGGGAGGAUAUUAAGAUGUUAGUAGCAAAAUGGUGGGGUAUUUACAAUGAUAAGUCUCUUGACUUUGCUGCAGAGGAUGCAGUCCCAGAAGGAGAGACCUGCUUACCUUCUUCGAUAAUGGUGGCCAUGUCAGAAAACAAUAUCAACUACAUCUCUGCACCCUCUGCUGCCUAAGACAGAAUAAGGGGAGGGAAACAAGAGCAACUAUGAAAGAUAUAAAGAAUAUGAUAUGAUUCUAUAAACACUCCACCUUUCAACACCUAUCAGUAGCUAACCAUAGCAUCCUCUUGAUCAUGAGGUUCCCUGUAGUUUUAUCCCUUGAUUAUAAAAUCUAUAGCAGCCUUAACCACUUAUUUUCCCAUUGUCCGUUUCUGA
rnacentral:lncRNA from 1 species